UCAGCACCAAAAAAUAAAUAUUUUGUUGGACUGCCUUUUGUCUUGACUACAGCACACAUUCGCUGUGGCAUUGUUUUAAUAAGCUUCUGCAAUGUUAGAAGAUUUAUUUACAGCCAUUCACCAAGAUCUUCCAUUGAUGAUGGUAGAUUCUGACUGCUGUGCAAAGCCUUCUGCAGCACAUCCCAAAGAUUCUCAUUGGGGCAAGGUCUGGACUCUGUGGUGGCCACUCCAUCUGUGAAAAGAU